GGGGUUGUACUGGUUUCGACGGGGUUCUUGAAGUUUGAAUAGCCAUCCGUGGACUAGGCCCACGUAAAAACUUAGAAAUUUAAAAUUAAACGCUAACAAUAAUUUAGCAGUAGCUGCCUAAUUGCAGCUUGCUGACCGCCGAUUCUCCCGUGAUUGACGGACCCAGCAUCAAACCAGCGGGGCACUCUUUUUACAAAGCUUUGAGUAGAAAGAAGAUAUAUGAAGCUACUAAAUAUUUAAUCGUGUCAAUACGAGUAGAUAUGAGGGAAACUUAAAAUAUUGACUGUGAUGGAAGAAGUUCUUAUGAAUAGGAUUUCGGACAGGGGUUCGAUUCCCCUCAGCUCCACU
rnacentral:tmRNA from 1 species